GGGCGAAUGGUUUAGUGGUAUAAUACUCCCUUAGCAUGGUUCAUCCACCUGGGAGUGGUCCAGGGUUCGAUUCCCUGUUCGUCCA